GGAUUAGAUACCCUGGUAGUCCACGCAGUAAACGAUGUGCACUAGGUGUUGGAGGUAAUCAUACCUUGAGAGCUGAAGCUAACGCAUUAAGUGCACGAAUUCCACGAUUACGGCCGCAAGGCAAAAACUCAAAGGAAUUGACGGGGGCCCGCACAAGCGGUGGAGUAUGUGGUUUAAUUCGAUGCAAACGCGCAAAACCUUACCUGGGCUUGACAUAAUCGGGAUAAUCCCAUGGAAACAUGGGAGUCAGUUGGGCUGGGCAGGUGACAGGCCGGGCAUGGUUGUCGUCAGACCGUCUUUUUUGUUGUCGGCCUAAAUAGGGCAACGAGCGCAACCGGCUACCAUUAGUUGCCAUCAUUCAGUUGGGCACUCUAAUGUCCAGCCGCAAUUUAGUCGGAGGAAGGUGGGGAUGGGGGUAAGUCCUCAUUGUCAUUACCCCCAGGGGGGCACGCGUACUCCAAUGCCCGGUCCAAUUGGGCGUUGGUUGGCAAGGUCCCGCAAAUCCCAAAAAGCCGGUGCAGGCCUCUGAUGAAGCGCGCAACUUGACUCCAUGAAGUCGG
rnacentral:rRNA from 1 species